rnacentral:rRNA from 1 species
AUUGAACGCUGGCGGCAUGCCUUACACAUGCAAGUCGAACGGUAACAGGUCUUCGGAUGCUGACGAGUGGCGAACGGGUGAGUAAUACAUCGGAACGUGCCUAGUAGUGGGGGAUAACUACUCGAAAGAGUGGCUAAUACCGCAUGAGAUCUACGGAUGAAAGCAGGGGAUCGCAAGACCUUGCGCUACUAGAGCGGCCGAUGGCAGAUUAGGUAGUUGGUGGGAUAAAAGCUUACCAAGCCGACGAUCUGUAGCUGGUCUGAGAGGACGAUCAGCCACACUGGGACUGAGACACGGCCCAGACUCCUACGGGAGGCAGCAGUGGGGAAUUUUGGACAAUGGGCGCAAGCCUGAUCCAGCAAUGCCGCGUGCAGGAUGAAGGCCUUCGGGUUGUAAACUGCUUUUGUACGGAACGAAAAGCCCUGGGUUAAUAUCCUGGGGUCAUGACGGUACCGUAAGAAUAAGCACCGGCUAACUACGUGCCAGCCGCCGCGGUAAUAC